rnacentral:rRNA from 1 species
CGGAGGAAGGUGGGGAUGACGUCAAGUCAUCAUGCCCCUUAUGUCCAGGGCUUCACACAUGCUACAAUGGCCUAUACAGAGGGCUGCGAGACCGUGAGGUGGAGCGAAUCCCUUAAAGUAGGUCUCAGUUCGGAUCGGGGUCUGCAACUCGACCCCGUGAAGUUGGA